rnacentral:rRNA from 1 species
GCCGCCGCUGCUCCGGUUUUUGCCGACGGCGGUAGAUGAUUUUCUGCGUACCAGGGUACCGGCGGAGUACUCUGGUACAGCUGGGGGCGCAACGCCGAUAAAUUUUUGACGGUGUCGCGCCGCCUUCAAGAUGUUUAUAGAUCCGCCAUGCCGCCUACUCGAUGACUAGCAGGGUGUCCUUUCUCCCUUAAUCAGUGAGGUCAUCUGUUCAAGGUUGUAUCUCACUUUAAGACUGAUUUUUCAUCGGAGGACGCUUCCACCAAGGACCAGAUCCGCCGCUGAUGGUACGAAGCAGAUGCAAUCUUCCGGGCUCGGAGAGGAUCUGUCACAAAAGGGCAGAGCGGCUCCACAUGGAUCGAGUUCCCGGGCCUUGUCCUUGCGCCCGAAUCCGUAAAGUUUGGCUGGUCAGUUCCAUACGGAUCGAGUUAUUGGGUUCUUGGGGCUCGUCCUUGCGCCCGGAUCCGACAAGCGGAACUGCCCCGGAUCGAAAAAGCUCCGAUUCAAUCUGCGGAUUGGCUGCUUCUUGGGCCUGGCCCGUUACGCGCGCUCUCCAUACCAAUAUGCACGAAGAGAUGCAGCAAUGCGCGGCCCAAGGCCCGCUACCGGAACCCACCGGACCCCCCGAGCCGUUUAUGAGUCUCCGUUUCGUUCCCCUCCUUACUGCGGCUCCUUGUGGCUCCGGUCGGGUGGGCUGGCGGAAGGGCGGGGGGCGGAGGGCCGGAGCCAACUGGCGGCGGCGGCUGGGAGACACGGCUGCGGGGAAGCGGAACGCACUGGCGGUGGCGGCGCAAUCUCAGUGGUCAGGGCGGAGGGCCGGUGGCCACUGGCGCCUGCGGCUGCGAGACACAACUGCGGGAAGCCAGAGCUGACUGGCGAGGGUGGCCUGAGGUAACAAUCUGAGAGGUUGAUAAUGGCUGAUGCUAGUUACCGCCGAAGACUGCGGGAUGCAGAAAAGUGUCGCAAUUGUGAGAAAACUGUCAUUUCUCAAACUGAAGACAUUUUUCGCAGGCCCGUCAACAUCCAGAGGCACCUGAAUGACCUUUUCAGAAUAGAAUUUCCCUUAAGACCAACUCCAGAUCAAUUUAUGGAAUUCUAUAGAGUUACUCGGGAACGCUAUGAAGCAAUCUCUUUUAUGUCAGUUCCUGGAGUUUUAUAUGAUGGCAGACCUGUUCAGAUCCCAGUCACGGCCCCUAGUUACAUCGGGGAAGAGACUUACCACACCAUUGUCAUACGCCUUGACAAUGGAUAUGUUGUGGAGUUUCUUGUUCAAGAAUCAAACAAUUAUCUUGUUGGGCUUAGAGUAUAUCGGAUUGAAAAUCAGAGAAAUGCUGCCCCUUGGUUUGUAUUCAAGAGAGUGACAUUACCUCCCUACUUCGGACAAUGCAUACCAAUCAGCUAUCCCUUGAGCUACAGUAAUGUUGGCUUGGUCUUAUUUGGAGCUGGAGCUGUCUCGGCUGCAGUGGACUUCUUUUCCACAUUUCUGGAAAAUCCUCACCAGCAGUCUACAGAUCAGGGUAAACUGCACUGCCAGUUAUUCUUUCUGCUGUUUGGUGAAGGACCCCGGUUCCGUAUUGCGCAGCAGUGGGCUAGAGACAAUGCUCUCAAUGCCAAUUGGCAAAAUCCACAAGCUGUUCUUCUCGAACUACUGCAUGAUUAUUCCAAGCUAUCUGAUUGUUCGCUUCACCUCUAUCAGUAUUAUGUUGAGAUCCCUUUUCUUGAUGCCCUUUCGGACGACCUGAAGGAGCUCAGUCCUUUUGCUCGUACCCUGUCUGAUGCUAAGAAUAGCUGGGAGCAAUUUGAGGCCAAAUACGCCAAAUUUGAAAAUUCUGGCUUGGUCUUCCGAAGAUUAUGUUGCAAUCUUUGGUGGGCGGUGAACUGUUGCUUCUCAAUUACAAUUACAAGUUUUGCACAAGGAUUCAGAUGAGACAAGCAGGUUAUGAUGGUGAAUGGUUUGAAAGGCUUCACAAGUAGAGCAUUGGCUAAAACUGAUGUAAACGACUCAAUUUUGGUACUAGCGCAGUGUACUGAUUCCAGCUGACUUUGGUAUCACUGUUUAUAGUUCAAACUUUGUACUGAACUAUUUCUUCUAGGACAAGCUCUGAAGGAAAGCCUUAGGACAAGCCUAUAUGAACCCCUGAGCUUCAGGUUGCUCCAACAACUGUUGUUGUUUGACAUUUUUGUGUGUGUAAGCUCUGAAGGAAGCCUAUACCGAACUAUUUCUUCUAGUUCUUUUGCUUUUUAACUCUUAAUGCUUCUGCUUGUCUAUCCUUUGGAUUCAGUUGGUCAUAUUGAGUGUUGUUUGAGAAUCAAGUCAUUAAACAUUUUGAUUUGUGGAAAACUCAUGUGCUAGGACUAGAGCAAGUUUUUCUUUCUCACUGUGCUGGUGGGACUGUUUUGUUUCUUAGCUCUCUGAGGACUGAGACCUCGUUAAAAUAUAAUGAAUUGGAAGGACAAAGUGAAGUCUCGCUGGACAUGCUGUCGGCUUGAAACAGAAACAUUUGAUUUCUUUUUUGUUCGCGUGUAUGAUGCGUAACUUUCUUCAUCAGUUUUAUCUUUGGGGUUUACUACAAUGCAGCACUGACUUUCACGCUGCAUGUUCUGCAGUACUAGUAGAUGCGGAUUUAUCUAUGCAUGUAUGCUUGGUGAGAGACGUAGCUCAUCAUUCCGUCUGGCUAUGUUAUUUUUGUUCAGUUAAGUAUGAGUUCAUUUUUCUCUCCAAACAGAAAGUUUCGGUUCAGUUUACUCACAAGAUGGUAAAUGCAUGGUUUCUCAUGAAGUGUGUUGGAAAAUCAGGAUUUUGGGAAUCUAUUUCCACAUGUAUUUUCAGUCACAGAGGCAGCAAAACAGAUGCCCAGAACCAGGACCAGGAGAAUGAGAUGAAGACAUCUCCCGUCGCAAAGCUCAUCCGGAGAGGGUAUAUGUUCCCAGGAUAUCCACGCACAUCCCAUCACCCGGCACUCCGUACGGCUCUCCGCCACCGCCAAAAGACGGAGCCAAUGUAAGACGACGAGGAUCGUCGUCCGCCGGACGCCGCAGCGGCUACCUACCUGCCGGGCGUGUGCACGUCGGUCGAUCUCCGGCCGGAAUCCG